AGACCACCACGGUGACUUGCAAGCAACUCACUGCACUUAGGCACUGGACUACCUGAAUUUUUAAUUCAGUGACGGAAGGCUGCUGGGUGUAGUCAAGUACUUGACUUGUUGGUGCGUGUGUCAAGAUGGGAUUGACCACUCCAGUUUAGGAGCUGUGUACAGUCGUGUUUCAAUUUAGCAAAAUCUUGGCCAGGGUAGUCCUUGUGAGGAGUCACAGGAUUGUUUGAGUUGAGCACGAUUCGGAUGAUCUGAUCAGGGUUGACAGUUUAACUCUGAGUCGUCCUAAAC
rnacentral:lncRNA from 1 species